UACGCAACUCUCGCCAAUCUCUUCUGACACGAGCUAUAGAACGCAUCAAUCUCUGCACCUCCUCUCAACAAAUCUUUUCUCUGUCCUAGAAGAAAAAUCUAUUUGUUUAACAAGAUAAAAACCGAGCCCCACACCGUAUAGCAUAACCGAGCAAGAUGAACUUUUAUCAGAUUUUGGUGGUGGUGAUGGCGGUGAUGCUGGCGCUGGUGAGUGCAGCUCCCCAGCUCGUCACCAGCAAGAGGAAGUUUCCUGGCCAGCGUAGGCUGGGGGCCACCAACUACGGCCUACAUUCUUUCGGCAAACGAGGAUUCAAAAACAGAAGAACCUAAUGCUCGAAGAUCCUUGGAGCCUGACAUGUCGCUCCCGUCACACAUGACUCUUUCCAGCAGCAAACUUCCGUCCGCGCCUUGAAUUCUCAAGGACUUGAUUGCUUAGGGUCGGAGGAAAAGUCUAAUUUACAAAAACCUGAAUGUUAGGGGUCAAAAAAAUUUCUAAUUCUGAAGAAAUUAAUUGCUUGAGGUAAGACAAAAUAUAUAUUUUGAACCGUUUCUAGUUACUAGUUAUACUAGUUAUACAUACAGUAUCGUUGGAACUGUAGACUUCAUACUGAGAAUAUUUCGCUCACUUUGAAAUGAGUUGAACACGAGGUAAAGUUAACCAAAUACCAUUUUUAAGUUUCUACUCGCAAUUAGAAAGCGUUCACUAAUUUACUUCUCACCAAUACAAUUAUGUAAUCAUAUACUCACUAUUCCUACCGAGUUAAAUGCUCGACUUCUAAUGCGCUAUAUCCGAGGCCACUCCACAUUAAUGAUACCAUUUUGUUCAAGCCAAAAACAGGAAAAAUUCGCGCUCUGCGAUCCAAUAAAGUCAAAUUUUCAAAAACUUGUUGCUUAAGCAGUGAGCUAAUAAAUGAGUACCUAAUUCGUUCAUAAAUAUACGAAUAUGUGAUACAUACUCUUAAGCUACGCAAUUAUUAUGAAAAUUGUUCAAUGUAUUCAUUCGUGUGGUUAGCAAUUCCUAUGAUUCAAAGCUUUAAUAUUUAUUAUAAUUAGUGUUUUCUGUACAUAUUCAACUUUGAAAAACUGAUAUAUAAUACAUAUAAUAAAUUAUGCACCGUUUAUAAUAAUACGCAUUAUUCGUCUAUUGAGUGUUGCAGUAGAUAUUUUGGUCAACACCGCCCUAAUGAUAAUUUGUAAUGCUCAAAAUUGCCUUGUAUUAAUGCGUUUGAAAUCAAUGGCCGUUGCUAUGCUAUUUAAAACCAAAAGAAGCAAUUGUUUUUACUGUGUGAGGUCAUUAUAGUUAUAGAUAAAUUAAUGUAUUUGGAUGAUUUUGAUUUUGUAAUACAGAUGA